rnacentral:rRNA from 1 species
GACGGAGGAGGCGAGCGUCAUCCGGAAUUAUUGGGCGUAAAGCGUCCGCAGGUGGCGAUUCAAGUCUGCUGUCAAAGCUCGGGGCUUAACCCCGGGAAGGCAGUGGAAACUGAAUAGCUAGAGUGCGGUAGGGGCAGAGGGAAUUCCAGGUGUAGCGGUGAAAUGCGUAGAGAUCGGGAAGAACAGCAGUGGCGAAAGCGCUCUGCUGGGCCUGCACUGACACUGAGGGAAGAAAGCUAGGGGAGCGAAAGGG